GACGAACGCUGGCGGCGUGCCUAAUACAUGCAAGUGGGACGCAAGGAAACACACUGUGCUUGCACACCGUGUUUUCUUGAGUCGCGAACGGGUGAGUAACGCGUAGGUAACCUGCCUAUUAGCGGGGGAUAACUAUUGGAAACGAUAGCUAAUACCGCAUAAUAUUAAUUAUUGCAUGAUAAUUGAUUGAAAGAUGCAAGCGCAUCACUAGUAGAUGGACCUGCGUUGUAUUAGCUAGUUGGUAAGGUAAGAGCUUACCAAGGCGACGAUACAUAGCCGACCUGAAAGGGUGAUCGGCCACACUGGGACUGAGACACGGCCCAGACUCCUACGGGAGGCAGCAGUAGGGAAUCUUCGGCAAUGGACGAAAGUCUGACCGAGCAACGCCGCGUGAGUGAAGAAGGUUUUCGGAUCGUAAAGCUCUGUUGUAAGUCAAGAACGUGUGUGAGAGUGGAAAGUUCACACAGUGACGGUAGCUUACCAGAAAGGGACGGCUAACUACGUG
rnacentral:rRNA from 1 species